GUCUACGGCCAUACCACCCUGAACGGGCCUGAUCUCAUCUGAUCUCGGAAGCUAAGCAGGGUUGGGCCCGGUUAGUACUUGGAUGGGAGACACAGACUGAAAGAGAUAUAGAGC
rnacentral:rRNA from 1 species